GACGAACGCUGGCGGCGUGCCUAAUACAUGCAAGUAGAGCGCUGAAGAGAGGAGCUUGCUCUUCUUGGAUGAGUUGCGAACGGGUGAGUAACGCGUAGGUAACCUGCCUUGUAGCGGGGGAUAACUAUUGGAAACGAUAGCUAAUACCGCAUAACAAUGGAUGACACAUGUCAUUUAUUUGAAAGGGGCAAUUGCUCCACUACAAGAUGGACCUGCGUUGUAUUAGCUAGUAGGUGAGGUAAUGGCUCACCUAGGCGACGAUACAUAGCCGACCUGAGAGGGUGAUCAGCCACACUGGGACUGAGACACGGCCCAGACUCCUACGGGAGGCAGCAGUAGGGAAUCUUCGGCAAUGGGGGCAACCCUGACCGAGCAACGCCGCGUGAGUGAAGAAGGUUUUCGGAUCGUAAAGCUCUGUUGUAAGUCAAGAACGGGUGUGAGAGUGGAAAGUUCACACUGUGACGGUAGCUUACCAGAAAGGGACGGCUAACUACGUG
rnacentral:rRNA from 1 species